rnacentral:lncRNA from 1 species
UGGAGACACUGGUAUGGCAUACAGGUGAGAUGUAAAGGUACAUCUGCACUGAACGUGACCGACUCCAGAGCUAUCUCUGCUGUCAAGAUUUGCUCCGAUGGGAUAUGGGUAUAAAUGUCCCUCCAACCUGAGACUGCCAUGGUGACUUGCAAGCAACUCACUGCACUUAGACAUUGGACUACCUAAAUUUCUAAUUCAGUGAUGGAAGGAUGCUGGGUGUAGUCAAGUACUUGACUUGUCGGUGCGUGUGUCAAGA